rnacentral:rRNA from 1 species
AACGCGAAGAACCUUACCUGGGCUCGAAGCGCAGUGGACAUGGGUGGAAACAUCCCUUUCUCGCAAGAGACUGCUGCGGAGGUGCUGCAUGGCUGUCGUCAGCUCGUGUCGUGAGAUGUUGGGUUAAGUCCCGCAACGAGCGCAACCCUUAUCGUUAGUUGCCAGCGAGUCAAGUCGGGCACUCUAGCGAAACCGCCUCGGAUAACGGGGAGGAAGGUGGGGAUGACGUCAAGUCCUCAUGGCCUUUAUGUCCAGGGCUACACACGUGCUACAAUGGCCGGUACAAACCGUCGCAAACUCGCGAGAGGGAGCUAAUCGGAAAAAGCCGGCCUCAGUUCGGAUUGGAGUCUGCAACUCGACUCCAUGAAGCUGGAAUCGCUAGUAAUCGCGGAUCAGCACGCCGCGGUGAAUACGUUCCCGGGCCUUGUA